UUUCUUCUCCAGCGCGCGACAGCUCUCCCCCUCUCCUUCCCGUUAGCACCGACCACAGACUCCCCUCCCCUUUCUGUUCCGUUCACCAGCCAACGCCACUGCCUCCUACCGCCGCCGCUGCACCCUCACGUCCCUGUCUCUCUGUCUCUCUGUCUCUCUCUCUCUCUCUCUCUCUGACUUCGUCUUCACAGCACAGAAACUAUUGGAACGAGUGAUAGUCGAAUCGCAAAAGGGUGCGAUUGCUGUCCUUCCCUCCGAGCAACUCCGGCAACUAUUACCGACAAGGUAGGCCGAUUAUCGCUCUCUAAUUCUUCUGUAAAUAGUUUCUUUAGUUAAUUUGUGUAAUAAUGGGAGAUAUCUUAAUCAUUGCUAAGUUACGUUGAAAUAGGAUUUUUGUCAAUUGGUUUAGAAAUAGUUAUUGCUUGAUGAAAUUGAUAGCGUGGUUGAACUCCUCUCUGAAUUUGGAUUAAUCCAACUAUAAUUUUGCAUUGUUUAGAGGAUGGUAUCAAUUUCGGCCAUCGCUGAUGGCGGCUGUACUGCUUGCCGGUGGUGGUUCUGGUGACCGAAAUUCCUAGAAGACAGAAUGUUUUAUUUUUGUGUAGAUUUUAUGUCUAUAAUUAGUUUUUUUAUUUGAUGUCGAUUGGUACCAAAGCUGUGAACUGACN
rnacentral:lncRNA from 1 species